AACGAACGUUAGCGGCGCGCCUAACACAUGCAAGUCGCACGAGAAAGGGCUUCGGCCCCGGUAAAGUGGCGCACGGGUGAGUAACACGUGGGUAACCUUCCCUCGAGCGGGGAAUAACAUUCCGAAAGGAGUGCUAAUACCGCAUAAGACCACGGCUUCGAAAGGAGCUGAGGUAAAAGCUGGCCUCUUCAUGAAAGCUAGCACUCGAGGCGGGGCCCGCGGCCCAUCAGCUUGUUGGUAGGGUAACGGCCUACCAAGGCUAAGACGGGUAACUGGUCUGAGAGGAUGAUCAGUCACACUGGAACUGAGACACGGUCCAGACUCCUACGGGAGGCAGCAGUGGGGAAUCUUGCGCAAUGGACGAAAGUCUGACGCAGCGACGCCGCGUGGGUGAUGAAGGCCUUCGGGUUGUAAAGCCCUGUGGGGAGAGACGAAUAAGUCUUGGCUAAUAUCCAAGAUGAUGACGGUAUCUCCUUAGCAAGCACCGGCUAACUCUGUGCCAGCAGCCGCCGUAAAAC
rnacentral:rRNA from 1 species